CCUCCUGCCCGGAGCGCUCUUUGUCACACUGUCUCCCUGAGUCCUGGCCCAGGAGCUAUGUCAUUGGUUCUCAAAAGCUUUGGUUUUAUGAUCCCUAUAUGCUCUUAGGAAUCAGUGAAGACGCCAAAGUUCUGGAGACUGGGAAGUCCAGGAUCAAGGCACCAGCAUCUGUUGAAGACCUCUUGCUGUGUCUUCACAUGGUAGAAGAUGGAAGGGCAAGACAGAGGACAAAGAGAGGCCAAAAGGGGUGAACCUGCUCCUUCAACAACGUGUUACAGGUGGGUCAUGGUAGAAGGUGUUUGGGUCAUGGAGGAGGAUCCCUCAUGGAUUGCUGCUGUCCUUGUGAUAGUGAGUUCUCCUGAGAUCUGGUUGUUUAAAAAUAUGUGGCACCUCCCUCCCCACUUCCUCCCGCUUUCACCAAGUGAUAUGCCUGCUUCUGUUUCCUUCCACAAUAAGUGAAAGCUCCCUGAGGCCUCCCCAGAAGCCAAGCAGAUACCAGUACCAUGCUUGUACAGCCUGCAAAACCAUGAGCCAAUAAACCACCGUUCUUUAUAAAUUA